rfam:Oryza meridionalis cultivar OR44 (W2112) chromosome 3, whole genome shotgun sequence.
UUUAAGCGCAACUAUGAGUUUCCAUUUUCAACUUUGAUCGUCUGUUUUAUUUGAAAAUUUUUUUAUGAUUAGUAGUUUUAUUGUUAUUUGAUGAUAAAACAUGAAUAGUACCUUAUGUGUGACUUAUGUUUUUUAUUUUUUUAAAAGAAAAUUCAAAUAAGAGCAACGAUUAAAGUUGAAUACGAAAACUCAUGGUUAUGCUUAAA